UACGUAGGGGGCAAGCGUUGUCCGGAAUUAUUGGGCGUAAAGGGCGCGCAGGCGGUCUUUUAAGUCUGAUGUGAAAUCUCGUAGCUUAACUACGAGCGGUCAUUGGAAACUGGAAGACUUGAGGACAGAAGAGGAGAGUGGAAUUCCACGUGUAGCGGUGAAAUGCGUAGAGAUGUGGAGGAACACCAGUGGCGAAGGCGACUCUCUGGUCUGUAACUGACGCUGAGGCGCGAAAGCGUGGGGAGCGAACAGG
rnacentral:rRNA from 1 species